AUUGCAGUCAUUCAAAAUUAAAUUGAUAGCAUGUAACCGAUACCCAUCUACCCCUGCUCUCCUUUGUCACCCUUCAACCGAUGCCUCAUCAAUUAAGAAACAUCAGUUACAAACCCUAGCAAUUUAUAAACCCUGCUCAUCGGCUCCAAUUAAUCUGUGAUUUUCUCAAUUCUGCGCUGUUUUGGUUAUGUUAUAUCGUCUCCGAUAUUGUCUCAAUUCCUUCCCCCAACAUAGAAACACUAGAAAUCGAUGAACGAGAGUAGAAAUCGGUUAAAUGGUACCUGUAAUUGCACUCGUUUUGGGUUAGAUUCAAGAAAGGGUGAAAAACCGUUGUCCUAUGGUUCGGAUGGAGAGGUUUGUUUUUGGAUUUGCUUGCACUCGUUUUCUCCCGUUUUAACCUUUCGGUACACGAUGCCGACUCAUUCAUAGUUCCUGGAUGUGAUUGUCAGUUUUGUGAAUCACAUUACUUGAAUGUCUUUGUGGGUUGUGAGGGCUUUUUAAAAUUGAUUGUUGUUCUUUUUUAUUUAAGCAUUUCAGAUGAUCGAGCUUUCCAACUAUUUCAUCAGUUGGUCCAAACGGUUCAAUUAUUCAUUACGAACCAGAAGCUAAAACAUGUGCGGAACUCCAUCCAAAUCGCAUGUAUCUUUGUGAUUCUGGAGCUCAGGUUCUUCUUACAUUUUCUAUGCAGUUUUUUGGCUUACAUUAUACUAUUUACUUACUAAAAUUAUUCACUACAUUUUUAUUGUGUUUUUCUUUAAAAGUAUUUUGAUGGGACAACGGAAACGGAUAUAACUCGGACCGUUCAUUUCGGAAAGCCUUCUGAACAUGAAUAAAGAUGUUAUACUGCGGGUGUCAGCAAGGGAGGCCUAAAAGGAAUCGCCCACAUAACAGGAGGUGGUUUAACAAAUAAUGUCCCUCAAGGCCUCGGGGCCCGCAUUUACAACAACUUUUGGUCCGUUCUUCCUAUUUUCAAGUGGAUCCAAAAGGAUGAAAACAUUGAAGAUGCUGAAAUGAAGCGUACAUUUAAUAUGGGAAUCAGGAUGCUAGCGAAGAGGCUGCCCAAAGGAAAGAGGCAACUGAAGGUACAUGUUGGUACACCGGUAGGGGUGUAAACGAGUCGGGCAUAGUGCGAGCCUCCACUACUCAAGCUUGGCUCGUCAUGUUUUUAUGAAGCUCGGUUCGGUUCGGAUUUACUUAUUUGAGCUCGAGCUCGGCUUGCAAGUAAAACCCAAAUCUUGAGCUCAUUUUGAGCUCACAAGCUUAAACAUACUUUAUAUUUCUAGCUCGAGCUUGUUAAGUCUCGGUUUUUAUAUUAAGAUGCUUUUGAUUCCUCAACAACACUCUUUUAGGAUUUUCACUUUGCACUAAAUGGUAAUGUGUUCGGGAUUAUUCAAUCUACCUCACUGUUUUUUUUUUUUU